AGUUUACAUUACCACUAGCAGUAUAAAAGUGUUCCCUUUUCACCAAAUGCCCCCCAAUAUUUUUUAUUUUUUGCUGUUUUGAUUAUGGUCAUUCUUGCCAGAGUAAGCUGGCAUAGCAUUGUGAGUUUUUGGUUUUUUUUUUUUGAGAUGGAGUCCGCUCUGUCACCAGGCUGGAGUGCAGUGGUGUAACCUUGGCUCACUGCAACUUCCACCUUCUGGGUUCAAGGGAUUCUCCUGCCUCAGCCUCCCGAGUAGCUGGGACUACAGGUGCCCACCACCACUCCCGGCUAAUUUUUGUAUUUUUAGGACAGAUGGAGUUUCACCAUGUUGGCCAGGGUGGUCUUGAUCUCUUGACCUAGUGAUCUACCCGCCUCAGCCUCCCAAAGUGCUGGGAUUUCAGGUGUGAGCCACCGCUCCCAGCCUGACAUUGUGGUUUUGAUUUGCAUUUCCCUGAUCUUUAGUGAUGAUGAGCAUUUUUUCAUGUUUGUUGGCCAUUUUUUAUAUCUCCUUUUGAGAAUUGUCUAUUCAAGUCCUUAGCCCAUUAUUUGAAGGGAUUGGUUUUUUUCCUGUUAAUUUGAGUACCUUGUAGAUUCUGGUUAUUAGUCCUUUCUCAGACGUAUAGAUUGUGAAGAUUUUCUCCCAUUCCAUGGGUUGUCUGUUUACUCUGCUUAUUGUUUCUUUUGCUGUGCCAAAACGUUUUGGCUUGAUUAAGUCUCACCUUUUAAUCUUCAUUUUGUUGUUGUUGCACUUGCUUUUGGGUUCUUGGUCAUGAAGUCUCUGCCUAAGCCAAUGUGUAGAAGGGGUUUUCCAAUGUUACCUUCUAGAAUUUUUAUGGUUGCAGGUCUCAGAUUUAAGUUGACUUUUGUAUAAGGUAAGAGAUGGGAAUUCAGUUUCAUUUCUUGGGAUAUAGCUUGCCAAUUAUCCAAGCACCAUAUGUUGAGUAGGGUGUUCUUUCCCCACUUUAUAUUGUUUGCUUUGUCAAAGACCAGUUGGCUGUAAGUAUUUGAGUUUACUUCUGGGUUCUCUAUUAUGUUUCAUUGGUCUAUGUGCUUAUUUUUAUACCAGUAUUAUGCUGUUUUGCUGACUAUGGGUUUGUAGUAUAGAUUGAAGUCAGGUAAUGUAAUGCCUCCAGAUUUGUUCUUUCUGCUUAGUCUUGCUUUGGCUAUGUGGGCUCGUUUUUUUUUUCCCAUAUGAAUUUUAGAAUUAUCAGGAGCCACCAGGUGCUGCAGCAGCUUUGGGAUAACUUGAGGGCGCAUCCUGGGGAAGAAACACCUCCUGUCCAUGGUGCUAACUGCUGAGGACAGUGCUUCGGCGUGGCUUCUCCGUGGCCCAGCUUCUUUGGGGCGUUUUUCUUUCAUGGUUCAUCCAUAUGGCUCCAAAUGAAAAUUACAUUAAUUAUGGAUGAAGAGUAUUGUGUUGUGCAGAUAUACUGCAGUUUCUUCAUCCCUUCAUCUAUGGAUGGACAGGUUCCACAGUGUUGCCACGGAUGACCUGAUUUCAGUACCCAUGUCUGGCUGAAGAGUAUCUGGUUGUGACUGGAUACUGCAGUUUCUGGAUCUCAUCCUCUGUGGGUGGACAGGUUUCUCCAUCUUGCUGGUAGUGAACUGAUGUCCGGAAGUUUGAUGGCCGAAGAGUAUACCGUUGUGCAUAUAUCCUUCAAUUCCUGAUUUUAUCAUCUGUAGAAAGACAAGACAAAUGGCCACUCUGACCAGCGUGUGAUGGCACCGGUACCUCAUCUCUGAUGAUUGGUGAUGUUGAGCAUUCCCCACGCCUGUUGGAAUGGCAAUCCCUUGGAAAUGUCUUCUCAAUAGUUACUACCCAUAGGUAUGUUGCUCAGGCCACUGUGUGGCCCCAGCACUUGGUUUGCAUAGGGACUUGGGGAUUGUUUGUCAUCAUUAGCCGGGACAAAUGUUACACUGCUGUUCCUACAGUGAGUAGUGGGAGUGGCGUAUGGGGGCAUAUGCUUAUGUCCACAGUUCCAUCAGAAAUCCCACUGCCUUAAGACAGUCUUACGGAAACCGAGUCCCAGCCUUGCAGCACCGGGUAGCCCUGUGGCAUUUUGACAUUGAGUGUGUCUGCAUUGUUGAAGUCACUCAGCAUGUUGCCAUGCGUUUAUCCACUUAGGUCAACGUUAAGGGAAGUUCAUCGCCUCUGCUUCUUCAGUAACUGAUGUCUGGUGCAUCAACUGAAUGCAUUUCAGGCUUUUCAGCAGUUCCCCCAGAUCUAUGGGUAAAAAAAGGUUUUCACCAUGCCCACCUCCCCAGUGAGUGACCAAUGUCUCAUUGUUAAUGCAUCUGAUGCACAGAGUUUAGUGGUCUGAGGGAGGUCAGUCGCCAAGCGGAGAUUGAAAUCACAUUUGUAUUUACAUUAUUACUUUUCUACAGUUUGGUUUGUUGCAGGCUUUCACACUACUAAUCUGGGCUGAAUCCUUGAAUUACUUUGUCUACCAAGGGUUUCAAAGAACUUGAUAAACUUGUUCUAAUUAGCCAACAUAUUCAUCCAUGUUGUCCGUAUACCAGGUGUAAAAAUAAAACGUUUCUUAAUGCACACAGGACAUGGAAGGCAAUCUACACAUUUUCAGGUGUAGACUUUGCUUGUGACUCUUUUGUGAGGAAUAGUCAUUGUUACUUUAGGAAAACCCUGAGUUUAUCCAACUCUUGUUAGAAUUGGAUAAGUGUAAAAACCUACAAUAGAAUGCAAGUGUGAGAGCCAAUUCCUCUGGUAAAAUAAACUCAUAUUAUUAUUUAUAUAUGUCUGGUCAUUGUAUUAAUAAAAUCAGUUUGUUUUGGCUGAAACACAUGGUUGGCCUUUACAAUAGAUGUGAAAAUGGGCUUAUAGAUCAUUGCUCUUUAUUGUGAAUAUUAGGUUGUAUUUAUUGCCAAACUCUUUCAACAGCUUCUAAGCAGUGAAUUUUCAGUGCAUUGUUGUUGUUCUCCAAGUACAAGCAGCCACUUCAGUUUUACCACAUUCAUCUUCCACACACUGAUGAACCAUAUGGAGGCAGCAGGAAUUGAAGUAGAACCAGAGGGAGUAGUUAGGACAGACAUUCUGAUUCAUUCAUUCUGAUUCUCACUAUUGUCAGUCAGUAAAGGUUCAUUGAAUUUUUCUUCUGAUGAAUAAAAUGGUCAGUUUUCUCAGUGCAAUGGCUUACUUUUGGAAGAGCAGCUCUAAAGACUUUACUACUGAUUAGUAAAGUCUAAACUGCUUUCUGUAUUUUUUUUUAAAUUCAACUUUUAUUUUAGACUGAAUAAAAAUGUGCAGGUUUAUUGUGUGAUACUGAGUUUUGGGGUACGAUUGAAGCCAUCACUAAGGUAAUGAGCAUCUCACCUUCUCCUUCUGUUCACUCUGUUACAGAGAACAGACCCUCCCAGUCUUCAGUGCACUCUAAAUACUGGCUAAUUCUGGCCAAUGGAAGGCAUCUGUGGAAGAAAAAAGCCUCAGAUCAUGUGCUGUCUGUCUUUAUUCAGUGUGACAUAUUAGGUAAUGGUCACAGACACUCACCAUGGCCCCAGUUUUUAAUAACAUGACCCUGCUUUUGUGUUCCAGUAACUUCUGUUGUUUUCCCAAUCCUAAGUAUGAUAGAAACUUCCUGCUGCUGCUAAUCUCUGGGUUCCAUUUAAAAUCCUUCCAUCACAUGAAUACUAUGCUGUGUUCUAAAUUUUUCCAUAAUUAAAUACUUACAAUUAUUUUUGCCUACUUCUUUUGCCCCUUAGUGAUAUGUUUUAAAAACACUUAUAAUGUGUCACAAUAUAUUUAGCAAAUGUAGGGAAUGACAUUUUUACUUUCGUCAGCAUUUACACUAGCAUUUAUGGAGCGAUGCUAUAUAAAGUAUUUUUAGUAAUUUAAACGUUAUAUAACAGAUAUCCGUUGAUUCCUUUGUUUCUACGUAAAUAAGUAUACUUGAGAUAUUCAGUAAACAGUAUUGAAUACAUGUUUCAUUUGUAUAAUAUAAAAUUAUGAUUAUUCUUUUUAAACAGUACAUCAUAUUUGCUUGUUGGCUUUAUGAUAACUUAGAAAUAAUAUUCUGGAUUAACUGUGUGACUCAUGAGAAGAUUUGUGCAACUAUGUUUCCAAAUUUACUUGAUUUUCAAGACUUACACUAGAACUGUGAGAACAGGGUAAUAAAUAAGCAUAUGUAUUAAUAUCACCUUUGGUCAACUCUUGGGUAGCCCCAACGGUAGUGUAGGAAUUAACGUAAUUUUUCCUACUAAAAGUAUUGGAUUUGUUUUGAGAGACCACAGUUGAAAAUCAUUGACAUACAAAGUUUAAAAAUUGUUAGGUUAAAAAAUUUUAAAUGCAUUUGAAGUGGUUUUAUAGAAAAAUAAUUAUCUAACUUGGUUUAUAUUGACAGGUUGUUUUCUUGGAUAAGAACUAGACGAAGAGAAAGGGAGAUUAGUGAUAAAUGUCCAGGUUUUCAAGUUGAAAAGUAACAAUCAGUGUAUUACAACAGAUGGAUGUGAUGUCAAAUUACAAAUGCUGAAAACGUUAUAUGUAAUCAUGUAGCCAGAGUAAUCAUACAAGGCAAAGAACGGAAAGGCAUCCAAAUAGGAAAGAGGCUGGAAUGCAGUGGCACCAUCUCAGCUCACUGCAACCUCCGCCUCUGGGUUCAAGUGCUGCUCCUGCCUCAGUCUC
rnacentral:lncRNA from 10 species